rnacentral:rRNA from 1 species
ACGGGAGGCAGCAGUGGGGGAUAUUGCACAAUGGGGGAAACCCUGAUGCAGCGACGCCGCGUGAGUGAUGAAGUAUUUCGGUAUGUAAAGCUCUAUCAGCAGGGAAGAAAAUGACGGUACCUGACUAAGAAGCUCCGGCUAAAUACGUGCCAGCAGCCGCGGUAAUACGUAUGGAGCAAGCGUUAUCCGGAUUUACUGGGUGUAAAGGGAGCGUAGACGGUGACGCAAGUCUGAAGUGAAAGGUGUGGGCUCAACCCGCAAACUGCUUUGGAAACUGUGUGACUAGAGUGUCGGAGAGGUAAGUGGAAUUCCUAGUGUAGCGGUGAAAUGCGUAGAUAUUAGGAGGAACACCAGUGGCGAAGGCGGCUUACUGGACGAUAACUGACGUUGAGGCUCGAAAGCGUGGGGAGCAAACAUGAUUAGAUACCCUGGUA